rnacentral:rRNA from 1 species
ACGGAAGGCAGCAGUAGGGAAUAUUGCACAAUGGGGGAAACCCUGAUGCAGCAACGCCACGUGUGGGAAGACGCAUUUCGGUGUGUAAACCACUGUCGUGAGGGAGUAAGGCUGAGUUUCGGCUCAGUUGAAUGUACCUCGAAAGGAAGCACCGGCAAACUUCGUGCCAGCAGCCGCGGUAAUACGAGGGGUGCAAGCGUUGUUCGGAAUCACUGGGCGUAAAGGGGGCGCAGGCGGAGAUGCAAGCAGUCUGUACAAUACCGGGGCCCAACCCCGGACCUGCAGACUGGACUGUUCCUCUUGGAUAGUUCAGGGGCAAGCGGAAUUCCUGGUGUAGCGGUGGAAUGCGUAGAGAUCAGGAAGAACACCGAUGGCGAAGGCAGCUUGCUGGGGACUUAUCGACGCUCAUGCUCGAAAGUGCGGGUAGCAAACAGGAUUAGAUACCCUGGUA